rnacentral:tRNA from 1 species
AUUUAUAUAGUUUAUAUAAAACUUUAUAUUUUCAUUAUAAAAAAAAUUUUAAUUUAUAAAUU